rnacentral:rRNA from 1 species
GACGAACGCUGGCGGCGUGCCUAAUACAUGCAAGUAGAACGCUGAAGGAGGAGCUUGCUUCUCUGGAUGAGUUGCGAACGGGUGAGUAACGCGUAGGUAACCUGCCUGGUAGCGGGGGAUAACUAUUGGAAACGAUAGCUAAUACCGCAUAAUAUUGACUAUUGCAUGAUAGUCAGUUGAAAGGUGCAACUGCACCACUACCAGAUGGACCUGCGUUGUAUUAGCUAGUUGGUGGGGUAACGGCUCACCAAGGCGACGAUACAUAGCCGACCUGAGAGGGUGAUCGGCCACACUGGGACUGAGACACGGCCCAGACUCCUACGGGAGGCAGCAGUAGGGAAUCUUCGGCAAUGGACGGAAGUCUGACCGAGCAACGCCGCGUGAGUGAAGAAGGUUUUCGGAUCGUAAAGCUCUGUUGUAAGAGGAGAACGAGUGUGAGAGUGGAAAGCUCACACUGUGACGGUAUCUUACCAGAAAGGGACGGCUAACUACGUG